GCUAUAGUCUUUUUCAAAUAUUCCCUUUAAAUUUUUUAUACACAUAAUUUUAUAUACUUGUAGUCAUAAUUUAUGAAUAUAUUUUUGACUUGCUUUUAAAGAUCAACAAAACAAAACAAUACUGAUUCUUUUAAAAAUCACUUCAGGGACUAGUCUCUAGAAUGAACACACACACACUUUUGGAUGCUUGUGCAGGAUUACAGUAAGAUAAUCAACAGCAUCAUCAAUGGACUUAGAUUGCAGACUGCAUUUGCAAUAAUCUCGAACUUAAGUAAUGAUGUUUUUACUGUCCUGAAGGAAAACUGAAUUUUUCAAAACAGUCAAGGGCAAGAAAGAGGGAUACAGAUAAGUCUUCUCCACCAGCUAUGAGUUAUACCUGUCUACUAGGUUAAAGCAGGUUUCAUGAUUGAUAUGUCUGUGGUUAACAAUUUGGUGUCAAUAUAGAUAAUAUUUAUCCUUCAAGGUUCAUAUAACUGGCUAUUUCAUUUAGAAAUCAAAUUUAUUUCCCCUGAUCUUUCCAUGGAAAGUAAGGACCUCAACAGUUGGAAAAACAAGUGUUUCUUUUCCUUUGGCUUACAGAGAGGCUCAGCAUUAGAAACUUAUUCAUAAAAUUGGCACACUUUAUAAAGACACAUUGGGAAGGCAGGGAGUUUCUUACAUCUACUUUUCACAAUUGUCCAACACAAAUCUCACUUUGGAUUGGGCUGCCAGCCUGAAUGGGUGAGAGGUGGCACAUAACAUUUUUAUGUCUUUGUUUCAUUUGGUGAAUCAAUGACAAUGACUUCUUUUGUCAUAUGGUAGGUAGUUAGAUAUGCAGAACUUCUAGAAAUAGUGCAGACUGGAAUGUACUUUGAAUUGUGCCAAUGAAUAAGGAUUUUUUGUUUGAUUUUUAGCUAAGGCUGACCUUUUGUCCCUGCCAUUUAAGGGAUUCCUUUCCAAUUUCCAGUUAUCACUAAGGAUGUGUAGAGGGAAUGACAUCUUAAUAUCAAACACAAUCUCAAAGUUGGAAGUAAGAGUAUUUGUGUAUCAUAGACAUUUGUUCUUAAUCACAACAUGGGGGCUUCCCUCAUAGCUCAGUUGGUAAAGAAUCCACCGGCAAUGCAGGUGACCCGGGUUCAAUUCCUGGUUCGGGAAGACCCCCCCUGGAGAAGGAAAUGGCAACCCACUCCAGUAUUCUUGCCUGGAGAAUCUCAUGUACAGAGAAGCCUGGCAGGCUACAAGACUUAGCAACUAAACCACCAUCACCAAUCACAACAUGGUUCUUAACAUUAUGGAUAACAGAAAUCAAUUUAGGUUGCUUUUCAGGCUUAAUUUAAACAAUAUUGUUGUCUUUUGGGGUUCUAGCACCUCCUUGUCUAUACUUAUUAUCUCUUUUGCAGGAGCGGUGGUGGUGAGGAGUGUGAAGAUGAUGGGAGAAUGUCUUACAGAAACUGAACGACGACAAGGCUGCUGUCCCGUGGGGUCAUAUGGACUGCUGCAGGAGACUCCUCAACCACGACACCUAAACGAAAGGUCGCCAUUUUAAACACAGAGCCAGGCACUUGGUUGAUGCUCAACAGAGAUGACUCGAGCCUCGGGUGCCCAACGACGUGCAUAGGGGCUGCAAAGAAGUUGGAGACCCAGUCUUUGAGCCCUAAGGGAUCACGGUCCACAACUGAAGACAUGAUUUCCACAGAGCAAGAUUAAACGUUAACCUUGGCCAUGAGAUCCUUUGAGUCCCAGUAACUUGAUUGCAGCGAAGCCUUGGUGACCUGAACCCUCCCCGCCCCCGCCCCAAACGCUAGGUCAGUCCCACGAGUGACGAUGGCAAAGCCCAGCACGGCUUAAGUUAUCACUGAAGCGCGGACGGGAGACCUUCUCCCACCAAGCGCCCAGACGGCGGCAGCAGGACGCUUCCGGGGGGCGCCCCGGCGGCUGGCGGGAGG
ensembl:lncRNA